rnacentral:rRNA from 1 species
AGUUCCUUGAACCGCAUGGUUCAAGGAUGAAAGACGGUUUCGGCUGUCACUUACAGAUGGACCCGCGGCGCAUUAGCUAGUUGGUGGGGUAAUGGCUCACCAAGGCGACGAUGCGUAGCCGACCUGAGAGGGUGAUCGGCCACACUGGGACUGAGACACGGCCCAGACUCCUACGGGAGGCAGCAGUAGGGAAUCUUCCGCAAUGGACGAAAGUCUGACGGAGCAACGCCGCGUGAGUGAUGAAGGUUUUCGGAUCGUAAAGCUCUGUUGUUAGGGAAGAACAAGUGCGAGAGUAACUGCUCGCACCUUGACGGUACCUAACCAGAAAGCCACGGCUAACUACGUGCCAGCAGCCGCGGUAAUACGUAGGUGGCAAGCGUUGUCCGGAAUUAUUGGGCGUAAAGGGCUCGCAGGCGGUUUCUUAAGUCUGAUGUGAAAGCCCCCGGCUCAACCGGGGAGGGUCAUUGGAAACUGGGAAACUUGAGUGCAGAAGAGGAGAGUGGAAUUCCACGUGUAGCGGUGAAAUGCGUAGAGAUGUGGAGGAACACCAGUGGCGAAGGCGACUCUCUGGUCUGUAACUGACGCUGAGGAGCGAAAGCGUGGGGGAGCGAACAGGAUUAGAUACCCUGGGUAGUCCACGCCGUAAACGAUGAGUGCUAAGUGUUAGGGGGUUUCCGCCCCUUAGUGCUGC